AAGAGGACUAAGGAUAUGUUUCUCGUUUAUGGAGGUGACGAAGAGCUCGUCGUAAACGGUUACGUCGACGCUAGCUUCGACACAGAUCUGGAUGACUCGAAGUCACAAACCGGAUACGUGUAUAUUUUGAAUGGAGGAGCAGUAAGCUGGUGCAGUUGCAAGCAAAGCGUCGUGGCGGGAUCUACAUGUGAAGCGGAGUACAUGGCGGCCUCGGAGGCAGCACAGGAAGCAGUCUGGAUGAAGGAGUUCAUUACCGACCUAGGGGUGAUUCCAAAUGCGUCGGGCCCGAUGACUCUCUUCUGUGACAACACUGGAGCUAUUGCCCUUGCGAAGGAGCCCAGGUUUCACAGGAAGACCAGGCAUAUCAAG
rnacentral:rRNA from 1 species